rnacentral:rRNA from 1 species
GGGCCCGCACAAGCGGUGGAGUAUGUGGUUUAAUUCGAUGCAACGCGAAGAACCUUACCAGGGCUUGACAUCCUGCGAACCUCUGUGAAAGCGGAGGGUGCCUUCGGGAACGCAGAGACAGGUGGUGCAUGGCUGUCGUCAGCUCGUGUCGUGAGAUGUUGGGUUAAGUCCCGCAACGAGCGCAACCCACGUCUUUAGUUGCCAGCAUUCAGUUGGGCACUCUAGAGAGACCGCCGGUGAUAAACCGGAGGAAGGUGUGGAUGACGUCAAGUCAUCAUGCCCCUUACGUCCUGGGCUACACACGUACUACAAUGCUACGGACAAAGGGCUGCAAGUUCGCGAGGACAAGCAAAUCCCAUAAACCGUGGCUCAGUUCAGAUCGUAGGCUGCAACUCGCCUACGUGAAGGCGGAAAUCGCUAGUAAUCG